GAUCAAGCGCAUAAGGGCUUCUGAUGGAUGCCUUGGCGUCGAGAGGCGAUGAAAGACGUGGCACGCUGCGAUAAGGUCCGGGGAGGCGCGAGCACCCUUUGAUCCGGACAUUUCUGAAUGGGGAAACCCACCUUUACAGUCUGCGAAUUUGAUCUUCGGCUUCGGCCGGAGCUCAUGUUCGUAGGUUGUUCAAAGGUAUAAUGACCUGAAUAAAAUAGGGUUCAUUAAGCAAACCCGGGGAACUGAAACAUCUCAGUACCCGGAGGAAAGGACAUCAACCGAGACUCCCGUAGUAGUGGCGAGCGAACCGGGACCAGGCCAG
rnacentral:rRNA from 1 species